rfam:Ovis aries breed Texel chromosome 1, whole genome shotgun sequence.
UCCCUGGUGGCUCAGAGGUUAAAGCGUCUGCCUCCAGUGUGGGAGACCCGGGUUCGAUCCCUGGGUCGGGAA